rnacentral:lncRNA from 1 species
AUGGAUUUGUGUGUUAAAUGACUAACAAAGAAAAUUCUAAAGCAAAAUGACUCAUUUGCGCAAAACUCAGAAAACUAACAGAGCAGCUAUGCCCGAGAAUUAAUGAAUUGUGAUAUAGCGCUGAAUAAGCCACGGCUCUAUUCCCGACUCUAAAUCUAUAAAGGACUUUCAGGGAGAGAAAAGAGGGGGCCAUGGUGAACUAUAUGUGGUGAAAGAGUCAUGAUGAUCCAUGUAAUAAAUAACUGGCUUUUCAACGUUUGUGGGUGGUUCACAUGCGAAAAACCAUUGGCUAAUUGUUCUGGCUCUCUUAUUGGUUUUUGCUUCUUUGUUAAAUAUUACCUUAGUCUCUUAUUGGCCAUUCACAGUCUCAU